AAUUGCUAGUAAUGGCAGGUCAGCAUACUGCCGUGAAUACGUUCCCGGGGCCUUGUACACACCGCCCGUCACACCAUGAGAGUUGGGAAUACCCGAAGCCUGUGAGCUAACUGUAAGGAGGCAGCAGUCGAAGGUAGAAUCAAUGAUUGGGGUGAAGUCGUAACAAGGUAUC
rnacentral:rRNA from 1 species